CGCAGCCGCGGUAAUUCCAGCUCCAAUAGCGUAUAUUAAAGUUGUUGCAGUUAAAAGCUCGUAGUUGAAUUUCGGGAUCAAUUUAUUGGUCGUGCAAUAGUACGUACUGGUAUUAUUGGUUCCUACCUUCUGAUGAACCAUGAUGUCAUUAAUUUGGUGUUAUGGGGAAUCAGGACUGUUACUUUGAAAAAUUAGAGUGUUUAAAGCAGGCUCACGCUUGAAUACAUUAGCAUGGAAUAAUGAAAUAGGACGUUUGAUUCUAUUUUGUUGGUUUUCUAGGAUCGACGUAAUGAUUAAUAGGGAUAGUUGGGGGCAUUAGUAUUCAAUUGUCAGAGGUGAAAUUCUUGGAUUUAUUGAAGACUAACUACUGCGAAAGCAUUUGCCAAGGAUGUUUUCAUUAAUCAAGAACGAAAGUUAGGGAUCGAAGACGAUCAGAUACCGUCGUAGUCU
rnacentral:rRNA from 1 species